rnacentral:rRNA from 1 species
AUUGAUCACUGUCGGCAGGCUUCACACAUGCAAGUCGAACGAGUGGCGGACGGGUGAGUAAUGUCUGGGGACUGCCCGAUAGAGGGGGAUAACUACUGGAAACGGUAGCCAAUACCGCAUACUAUCGGAUAACCCAUAUGGGAUUAGCUAGUUGGUGAGGUAAUGGCUCACCAAGGCGUCGAACCCUAGCUGGCCUGAGCGGAUGAUCAGCCACACUGUGACGGAGAAACGGCCCAGACUCCUACGGAGGCAGCAGUGGGGAAGAUUGCACAAUGGGCACAAGCCUGAUGCAGCCAUUCCGAGUGUAUGAAGAAGGCCCUAGGGUUGUAAAGUACUUUCAGUCAGGAGGCGUUACCGUCAGGAGAAGCACCGGCGAACGCCGUGCUAGCAGCCGCGGUAAUUC